GACGAACGCUGGCGGCGUGCUUAACACAUGCAAGUCGAACGGAAAGGCCCUGCUCUUGUGGGGUGCUCGAGUGGCGAACGGGGGAGUAACACGUGAGUAACCUGCCCUUGACUUUGGGAUAACUUCAGGAAACUGGGGCUAAUACCGGAUAGGAGCUCCUGCUGCAUGGUGGUGGUUGGAAAGAUUCGGCGGUUGGGGAUGGACUCGCGGCUUAUCAGCUUGUUGGGGGGGUAGUGGCUUACCAAGGCUUUGACGGGUAGCCGGCCUGAGAGGGUGACCGGCCACAUGGGGACUGAGAUACGGCCCAGACGCCUACGGGAGGCAGCAGUGGGGAAUAUUGCACAAUGGGCGGAAGCCUGAUGCAGCAACGCCGCGUGCGGGAUGACGGCCUUCGGGUUGUAAACCGCUUUCGCCUGUGACGAAGCGUGAGUGACGGUAAUGGGUAAAGAAGCACCGGCUAACUACGUG
rnacentral:rRNA from 1 species